rnacentral:tRNA from 1 species
GGUCCCGUAGCUCAGCAGGAUAGAGCAGCGGUUUCCUAAACCGAAGGUCACAGGUUCGAAUCCUGUCGGGACCACCA